rnacentral:lncRNA from 1 species
UGAAUGUGAAGAAUUGAUUCUAUCCAAAAAAUUGAUUUGAUAGGAAGCGGAAUAGAAAUUGUCAGAUCGUAAACUUCUUUUUUGAGAGAUAGGUAGCACGCUACCUAAUUCGUUUAUUUCAUUUAGAAAUAAAUUUAGUUAGAAAUGUGAAUCAAGUAGGAUUCAAAUUUGGGUCUCGGGUACCAACCACCAAACCCUUACCACUUACUCUAGGGACAGUCGGUGUCAGAUCGUAAACUUCAAAACUUAAACUUUUAUUCUA